rnacentral:rRNA from 1 species
GACAGAGGGGGGCAAGCGUUGCUCGGAAUUAUUGGGCGUAAAGGGCGCGUAGGCGGCUUUUCAAGUGACGGGUGAAAUCCCUCGGCUUAACCGAGGAACUGCCUGUCAGACUGGAAGGCUUGAGACCGGGAGAGGUGAGUGGAAUUCCCAGUGUAGCGGUGAAAUGCGUAGAUAUUGGGAGGAACACCAGUGGCGAAGGCGGCUCACUGGACCGGAACUGACGCUGAGGCGCGAAAGCGUGGGGAGCAAACAGG